rnacentral:rRNA from 1 species
CCUACGGGAGGCAGCAGUGGGGAAUAUUGGACAAUGGGCGAAAGCCUGAUCCAGCCAUGCCGCGUGUGUGAAGAAGGCCUUCGGGUUGUAAAGCACUUUCAGUGGGGAAGAAAGCCUUGGGGCUAAUACCCUCGAGGAAGGACAUCACCCACAGAAGAAGCACCGGCUAACUCCGUGCCAGCAGCCGCGGUAAUACGGAGGGUGCGAGCGUUAAUCGGAAUUACUGGGCGUAAAGCGCGCGUAGGCGGUCUGAUAAGCCGGUUGUGAAAGCCCCGGGCUCAACCUGGGAACGGCAUCCGGAACUGUCAGGCUAGAGUGCGGGAGAGGAAGGUAGAAUUCCCGGUGUAGCGGUGAAAUGCGUAGAGAUCGGGAGGAAUACCAGUGGCGAAGGCGGCCUUCUGGACUGACACUGACGCUGAGGUGCGAAAGCGUGGGUAGCAAACAGGAUUAGAUACCCUUGUAGUC